rnacentral:rRNA from 1 species
GACGAACGCUGGCGGCGUGCUUAACACAUGCAAGUCGAGCGGUAAGGCCCUUUCGGGGGUACACGAGCGGCGAACGGGUGAGUAACACGUGGGUGACCUGCCCUCAGCUCUGGGAUAAGCCUGGGAAACCGGGUCUAAUACUGGAUAUGACUCCAUGACGCAUGUUGUGGGGUGGAAAGCCUUGUGCGGGCUGAGGAUGGGCCCGCGGCCUAUCAGCUUGUUGGUGGGGGGAU